CAGCAGCCACGGUAAUACGUAGGGUGCAAGCGUUAAUCGGAAUUACUGGGCGUAAAGCGUGCGCAGGCGGUUAUAUAAGACAGAUGUGAAAUCCCCGGGCUCAACCUGGGAACUGCAUUUGUGACUGUAUAGCUAGAGUACGGCAGAGGGGGAUGGAAUUCCGCGUGUAGCAGUGAAAUGCGUAGAUAUGCGGAGGAACACCGAUGGCGAAGGCAAUCCCCUGGGCCUGUACUGACGCUCAUGCACGAAAGCGUGGGGAGCAAACAGGAUUAGAGACCCCGUAGUCCCUGUCUCUUAUACA
rnacentral:rRNA from 1 species